rnacentral:rRNA from 1 species
AGUGAACGCUGGCGGUAGGCCUAACACAUGCAAGUCGAACGGCAGCACAGUAAGAGCUUGCUCUUACGGGUGGCGAGUGGCGGACGGGUGAGGAAUACAUCGGAAUCUACUUUUUCGUGGGGGAUAACGUAGGGAAACUUACGCUAAUACCGCAUACGACCUACGGGUGAAAGCAGGGGAUCUUCGGACCUUGCGCGAUUGAAUGAGCCGAUGUCGGAUUAGCUAGUUGGCGGGGUAAAGGCCCACCACGGCGACGAUCCGUAGCUGGUCUGAGAGGAUGAUCAGCCACACUGGAACUGAGACACGGUCCAGACUCCUACGGGAGGCAGCAGUGGGGAAUAUUGGACAUUGGGCGCAAGCCUGAUCCAGCCAUACCGCGUGGGUGAAGAAGGCCUUCGGGUUGUAAAGCCCUUUUGUUGGGAAAGAAAAGCAGCAGGUUAAUACCCCGCUGUUCUGACGGUACCCAAAGAAUAAGCACCGGCUAACUUCGUG